rnacentral:rRNA from 1 species
UUCGGUCCCUAUCCGGCGCAGGCGGAGGAUAUUUGAGAGGAGCUGUCCUUAGUACGAGAGGACCGGGAUGGAGAAACCUCUGGUGCAUCGGUUGUCCUGCCAAGGGCAUGGCCGAGUAGCCAAGUUUGGAAGGGAUAAACGCUGAAGGCAUCUAAGCGUGAAGCCCCCCUCAAGAUGAGAUAUCCCAUUCGAAAGAAGGUA